rnacentral:tRNA from 1 species
CCUUAAAAAUGAUUGAUCAUAAUUGGUUUCGGCCCAUUUUUAAGUAGCUUACUGCUGCUUUAAGGCU